AUGAAACUUGGUUGAAGUUCUUGUAGCUGGCGAAAGCAUGUGCUCGCUUCUUCCUUAAUCCAUUUCAACACCUGUGCACUCUCGGAGGGGAUCUUUGAUUAGAACCCCUUCUGUAUAACAAACUCUGAUAACUUUGAAUGUUCAUUUGGCCGAAAGGCUAUAAUAUUAUAA
rnacentral:misc_RNA from 1 species